UCUCUGUUUUCAGAGUUGAUUAUGUAUCUCUAAAACAGGACAUACAGGAGCCAACAAAAAAAUCUGUACAUUUCCAUAUCAACUGGGCCAUCGCUGAGGAGAAUACUGAACGGCUAUUAAAUGGACCUCGAGGUGAGACUGAUUGUUCAACAAAUUAAUGCCUGCAUCACAUGGUGCCUGUCUUAAUUAAAGCUCCCGAUUCCUGAUCGACCGAGGCGGACAGCUGGAAUUUAAGUGCCAGCGAACCAGUGGGGGACAACUGCAGGACUAGCCGGAUAAAUCACCGAGAGGAGUUCAAGGCUUUAAAUUCAACAAGUGAAGCAGAGUUUGAGCUUGUGUGUCAAGUGUGCAGAGCCAGUAAUGCCCACCCUGAGCUGGGGUGAAGCAGUGAUUCAGCAGCAGCAUCAGCAGCAGUAGGCAGUGUGCUUUUAGCCAGGCGGCAGCACAGAGUGUCUGUCGAGGCUCUGUCCAGCUCCUAAUGGGAUGUUCUUGUUGUUGCCAGCGGAUAACUCUCAUCCUGAGUUCUGGACUCCAGAUCAAAGGAGGCCUGGAUUCCACAGAGCCACCGGGGCUGUACGGAUGGAGAGGACACGGGCAGAGAGGGGAGUAGGGACGAGUGGAGCCGAGCAGAGGGGCCGGCGGGGAGCCCCGAGGACCCGGGCGGACCGGCAGGCCGAAGAACUGCCUGUAAGACCAGCAGCCGGGUACACACAGACCGCCUCGCCGCUCUGAUCGCCCACAGGACCAACGAGGCGUGUCUCUCGGGAGGAAAGAGAUGGUUUUACAUCGAGGCAGCUUACAGGCUAUCGGAGCGGCUUCAAACACGAGGCCUGCUCCCCGAACGAGGACGAGGAGGCCGUUAUGGGAAUACUACAAAGCACAAGAAAAAGCACCAAGAAAGUAGGACAGGAUGAAUUACCUCCAUUGUAAUUUGAAUGAAGCUGAAUUACUAUAUUAAACAAACAUGCCGAGAACACUGUAAUCCAGAUCCGGCUUUAUAUAAAUACUGAAAAUGAAAAACUUUAAUUUAAAUGCUUCUGGAGGCUCUAUUUACCAGCACUCCCACGGAGACUUUGUCUCAACCGUCUCUCCCAGCCGUGAGGUGCACACGUGUGCGUGUGCGUGUUUGAAUACAUGUGUGUGUGUGAUUCAGUGUGUAGGUUAGCCUGUUACAGCACAAGCGACCGAUAAGCCCGGAGGCACCGCCUCGGGGUCUUGCUCGGCAACACAAAUGGACUCGAUACGUGAUUCCAUAACUGACUUAGGCCCGCUGCUCUCACCACAGGGGGAACUCGGCACCUACCGGGGACGGGGAAUGUGCCCUCUAUACCUCGGCACAGACCGAGCACUUUUCAAAACUCAUGAGUCAUUAAUAAAACGAUCUCACGGUGUUCGUAUCAGGACUUGCGGAUAAAUCACGGCACAUUUGACACUAAAAGGCCAUUUCUAUUCUGCUCUGAUGGAUGUCAAGGAUGCCACGCAAGGGAACCUGAGGUGCCGCUUCACACUUGAUCGAAUCCGCUUAUCUGCUAACUUCACCGCCGCGUCGAAUCCAAAUAUUGCGUCGAUACAAAUGCAACAUGCGGUGAGAAACGAGGGGAGGACGCGAGUCCCUUGAACAAAUGUGUUCCAGGGUCUCAAGCCCAGGCUCCUGAUUUUACAUAUUUGUAAAAAUAAAAAAAAAGAAGAAAAGUGUAAGUAGCAUAGAGGCAAAGCGCGGGUCAGUCAGUCCGGAGCUGAAUGCAGAAGCCGCUUCAGACUUGUGGGUUCAAGACUGACCUUUCAGUUGGUGACGUAAUGCAGCUGCACGGGUCAGUCCCCUCUUUCACAGUGGAGGCGUUCAGCUUUAAGUGAUUCAUGAGUAUAUAACAUUAAUAUAAAACGCUGUGCAGACAGGCAGUCGCACAUCGGGAGGGGGACAGGAGCCCCGGCAGGAGCAAUGCGUUGCAUAUCUGGCAUGGAUUUAGCAUUUAAAUCCCUCCUUGCUCCGCUCUGCUGUGCUCUGCUGAGGCUCGGCCCGCAUUUGUGAUCAAACAGAGAUCGGACGACUGCUUUUCUUCCUCGUCCUUCACGUCGCACCGUCUUGAAAGGCUUCAUUAAAAUCUCAGGGCUGCAGAUACAGUAUCAGAGGUAAUUUGCCGUGCCUUUCCUUAGGGGAAAAAAGAGGAUCCCAUUGUUAGAAACGGAGGGAGAAACGUCUGUCCGGGCCUUUAGAUGAGACACAAUACAGAGCUCCACCACCGCUGUGUUCUAAUGUAUGGUGAUGUUUUUGGGCUAAUGGGAGUCUGACCUGCAACAGAGCUCAUGGCGAGUCUUGCAAACAGGCGGUGUAGCGCCAGGCAGAAAAAGGAGGGGAUGGCAGGAGGGCAGGAAAGGAAGACAGGGUGAGAGAAGUCUAAGAGAGAGAGAUGGGGGGAGAAUUGGCUUGAAAUGUUCCGACAAUGAAAUGUCUCCAGUAAUUGUUCCUGCGGUGAUAAAUGGUGUCCCAUUUUACGGCGAGUCUCCUUGUCCUUGGGAGUCAAAGAGAUGAGCGGAGGAGGGGACGCAGACAUGGACUGGCAAAGCCGGCUUUAACUUGGCUGCAAGCCGUCAACUUUCUGAAGGUGAAGGUGUGUGUGUGUGUGUGUGUGUGUCUGCAUGUCAGUGUGUGUGCUUGUUUGUGUUUCUCUGCUGUAGACGUUGAAGCGUUUCUGUGAACCAGCAGGCAGCACAGUAGCGGAUGAGGCUGACAGAAUAAAAACACAUCACAACACUGCAGUAAUAUCCCCUUGACAACACGCUCCGAGCACUUUGUGCCCCGAGACGUUUUUGCAGCCGUCCAGGGAGACGAGCAUUUACCUCGCUGCGACUUCGUCAGCAGGCAGCGCUGUCAUGUCAGGCAAACGGGAAGUUUCCCAUAUUUUGUAUAGUUUACUCGCUUUUUAAUGAUGGUUUUGUGAAUGAAUGAAUGUAAUCUACGCGAGUGGUCCAAGAGAAAACAGAUGUUCAAUCAUGUCAGGCCUUUUCACUGCCAUUCAAUUCCAAAACACCAUACAAAUAAACUCGAGUGUCAGCUGGAUUUACUAAUAUUAGAACAAUAUUUAAUAUUCCUUGCAUUGUGUUGUUUCACACUCUUUUUUUUUUAGCUAACACAAAACAAAAGCGGCGUGUGUCCAUGCCCUGUUCAUUACUUUGAGUAUAAUCAUUAUUAUUAUUCACUUUCAAAACUAGUGGACUUCAGAUUAAAUAAACUAUAUCACUGGAACCCCCCUUGGAGGAUAAUUUAUUAUUACUGUAUACGUGUAGCGAUGUGAAGCCGGUAAAAAGAAGGUAGAUAAAAUAAGUGAAUGAGUAAUAUUCAGGUUCACUUCACAGUGGGAAAACUAAUGAAAGCCUGCUUGAUUAUAAUCUUGCUCUGAUUUAUUUAGCUGAGCUGGCAAAAACAUCAAUGGUCACAUUUUAAAUCUAUGGCAGGAUGAACCAAUAAGUUAAUUGCUAACAGUGUAAAGAUGGGCCUGCAGAUUCCACUCCCACACUGUGAAGGUGACAAGACAGGUGUCGAGCGCUUGUGAAAAUGGAGCUUAAUGCGGAUACAUACCACGCGUGAACAAGCUGCUUUUGAAAAGCGCAUUCAGCGCCACAGAGCCCUCGCCGAGUCUGUGUUUCACCGAUAAGCAUGAAGGUUCAUUAGAAUUCAUGUGAUUUAUGUUAACUGGCAUUUGUGUCAUAUUGCAAAAGAGGGAGAGAAGUCACACGCCAGAUAUAACAUGGAUAAGUGAGUCUGCAAUGAAGUAAGUGAGAAAUAACUCAAGAGGAGAGAGUUCAGUUUCUGGAAGGGAAGAAGAAACUAGUUAAUAUGAAUCACAUCGAUCACUGUGAGCCCAAAGAGGAAACAUGAGAAGAACAUCGGAGGGAGAGAGGAAGCUGCUCCUCGUACAACGUGAGCUAUAAGGAAAGAGCAGAAGAUGCUCUUCGGGCUCGGGGAGGAUUGUGAAGGCGAGAGAGGAGGAGGACACACUGUAAAUGCUAAAGAGACUGCAGAGCCUGGAGUUUCCCAUGACACACAUUAAUCACCGGUGGCCUCUCUUCGCUGCAUGCGGAUGCACGGCGAUGAUGAUCCUCCCCUGCACCACGUCGUACCGACAGCUGGGACACCAACACAGGCGUCACAUGAACCGCUCUCUCCUCUCCACUUCCUGUCUUCUCUCUGUUCCCCUCCCUAUAUUUUCUACAUCAUCAUUUCUGUCCACACAUUCGCACACCACAUCCAUGCACCCGGACAUUCAUCUCAUCUUGUUCCCACCCCCUCUCUCGUCCCCGCUGGCCUCGGACAGGUUGGCGCCAGGCGGAAAGCAGGUGGCGGGAAGAAGAAAAAGGUUACACUCAUUAUACAGAUUAAACCUGUAAAUGCCCUGUCGUCGGUGUAAUCGAUGUGCCACUUCAUUGCAGUGACUUAUUGAUCAAUCUCGUCUGGGGGUCGCACACAGUGCAUCGUUAUAGCUCCGCUAGUUUGCAGGGACUGCCUUUCCUUUCAGACCCUGGCCCUUCCACGGAUGCACUCUCUUCCAGUCCCUCGCCCUCACAGCGAACUCCAACGUGAGGUUCUCGCCUGCGGCUGUUUUCUGUGACUUGGUCUUAUAGCAACGUGGCUUCCAUCCUAUGG